rnacentral:rRNA from 1 species
GAAAGCAACGCGAAGAACCUUACCAGGUCUUGACAUCCUCUGACAACCCUAGAGAUAGGGCUUUCCCUUCGGGGACAGAGUGACAGGUGGUGCAUGGUUGUCGUCAGCUCGUGUCGUGAGAUGUUGGGUUAAGUCCCGCAACGAGCGCAACCCUUGAUCUUAGUUGCCAGCAUUCAGUUGGGCACUCUAAGGUGACUGCCGGUGACAAACCGGAGGAAGGUGGGGAUGACGUCAAAUCAUCAUGCCCCUUAUGACCUGGGCUACACACGUGCUACAAUGGACAGAACAAAGGGCUGCGAGACCGCAAGGUUUAGCCAAUCCCACAAAUCUGUUCUCAGUUCGGAUCGCAGUCUGCAACUCGACUGCGUGAAGCUGGAAUCGCUAGUAAUCGCGGAUCAGCAUGCCGCGGUGAAUACGUUCCCGGGCCUUGUACACACCGCCCGUCACACCACGAGAGUUUGCAACACCCGAAGUCGGUGAGGUAACCUUUAUGGAGCCAGCCGC